CACGUAGGGUCCGAGCGUUGUCCGGAAUUACUGGGCGUAAAGCGUGCGCAGGCGGUUGGGUCAGUCGCUGGUGAAAGCCCCACGCUCAACGUGGGAAUGGCCAACGAGACGGCCCGACUGGAGGCAGGGAGAGGCCGGUGGAAUUCCGGGUGAGUGGUGAAAUGCGUAGAUAUCGGGAGGAACACCAGUGGCGAAGGGCGGUUAGCUGGCCUGUAACUGACACUGGAGGCGCGAAAGGCUAGGGGGAGCGAACAGG
rnacentral:rRNA from 1 species